UACAGAGGGUGCAAGCGUUAAUCGGAAUUACUGGGCGUAAAGCGUGCGUAGUCGGUUAACUAAGUCGGAUGUGAAAUCCCCAGGCUUAACCUGGGAACUGCAUCCGAUACUGGAUGGCUUGAAUCCGGGAGAGGGAUGCAGAAUUCCAGGUGUAGCGGUGAAAUGCGUAGAUAUCUGGAGGAAUACCGGUGGCGAAGGCGGCAUCCUGGACCGGCAUUGACGCUGAGGAGCGAAAGCUAGGGGAGCAAACGGG
rnacentral:rRNA from 1 species